rnacentral:misc_RNA from 1 species
UUCUUGUGAUCGCAGUACAGUUUCCAAACAAAAUACAUUGGACUAGAAAAAAAUAAAGUUUAAAUGCGAUGAAAUGGCUACAGCAGACUGGAACCCACUCGGUGAAAUAUACUACAAAAAAUGUGAGGUGUAUUCUAUGGGAUGGAGCGAUAUAGUUGACAUAAGUAAAUUUGAAGUUUCUGCUGCACCAUACGGUGGUCCGAUAGCUCUGUUGAAAGAUGAAUCUAAGACAGCUCGAGUUCAAGUGUCAACAAAGCCAAUUAUUACUGUGUUUACAGCUGCUGGAAAACAGAUAAGUCAAAUGAGGUGGAACAGUGGCAGUAUCCACAAGAUGGGUUGGUCCCACACAGAAGACCUGUUGUUUGUACAGGAUGACGGGGUGGUGCUGGUUUACGACAUGUUCCUCACCUUUAAAAAGACAUUUGGGAUGGGCCAGGAAGCCAAAGAUGUAAAAGUUAUUGACUGCAAGAUAUUCAGCAGCUACCAAGGAACAGGGAUUGCAGUUUUGACCAGCACCUACAGAGUGUUCAUUAUAAACAGUGUGGACGACCCAAGAAUCAGGCGACUGGCUGAGGUUCCAGGUCUGUCAUCUGCUCCUAGCAGCUGGGCAGUGAUCAACUUGGAUCGGCAAUCCCGUGCAUUGAUUGCCAAGGGGAGUGAACUGUGCUUGAUUGACCAAGGGGGACAAUACCAAGUGCAGACACCAGAUGUCUCCACAGAAGUGACCCAGUUUCUGGCCAUGUCCUUGUCCUUCAACAACCGCUGUCUCGCCAUGUUUACAGACAAGGGGGUCAUUUGGAUAGGGUCAUCAGACUUGCAGAAAAAAUAUUGUGAAUUCAACACCAAAUCUCCAACACCUCCACAGCAACUCUCAUGGUGUGGAGCGGGGGCAGUGGUAGGUCUCUGGGGUAAUAUGAUGCUGGUGGUCGGCCCCGACAAAGACUGGAUCAACUUCAACUUUGACAACCCUGUUCAUCUUGUUGAGGAGGAAGAUGGAUUACGAAUUAUUGGGAAAUACCAGCACGAGUUUCUUUAUAAAGUCCCUGAGGUAACGGAGAAGAUCUUUAAGAUCGGCUCCAUGGAACCGGGAGCUAUGUUGUUUGAAGCCUCAAAGGAAUUCUAUAAAGGAAGUCAGAAGGCAGAUGAGUACAUUAGGAUCAUUAAGGACAAGCUGGAGAUAGCAGUCAGUCAAUGUAUAGAGGCGGCUGGGCAUGAGAUAGACCCAGCCAAACAGAAGCCUCUCCUCAGGGCUGCUGCCUUUGGUAAGUGUUUCCUGACCGACUAUAACCCCGAGGCCUACGUCAACAUGUGUCAGAUGCUGAGGGUGCUUAACCAGGUCAGGAACCAUGUGAUCGGCAUCCCGCUCACCUACUCCCAAUUGCAGCAUUUAUCCAUGCCAAUACUGAUCGAUCGACUUGUCCUUAGAAAGUUGUUUUAUUACGCUGUUAAAAUCUGCCAGUAUUUGAAGAUUGCAGAUGCGGAAGGGGCCAGUAGAAUAUUGGCACAUUGGGCAUGUUACAAGGUACAGAGGCAUUUUUAACAAUUCUCUUGUUAACAUUGGGUUAAAUUUACAAUACCAUAUGUGACUGAAUCAGAAGUAUCCAGGAGGUUAUAAGAUGGCAUUGUAUACAAUGUAUUACUGUAUAUUUGACUUUUCUAUCAAUUGGAAAAUGAGCAUAAAUUCCUUCAUAACAUUGUGAGUUGUAAAAACUUUUUAACUUGAAAGUGACUUUCAUAUUUUUCAUUUGUCGUCCACACUUAUGGGAUUAGAGUUGAGAUGCAUGUAUACAAUUACUGAAUAGGUACAGCAGAAGAAUGAAGAUGAUGAGACAAUAGCCAGAGCCAUUAACCAGAAGUUAGGAGAUACUCCGGGGAUAUCGUACUCGGACAUCGCUAACCACGCCCUAGAGGAGGGCCGUCCUGACCUUGCCACAAGGCUAUUAGAUUUUGAGCCCCGAGCUGGACAGCAGGUGCCCCUUUUGAUGAAGAUGCACAAGGACAACAUUGCUUUGUCCAAAGCCAUAGAAAGUGGAGACACAGAUCUGGUUUACACAGUGCUGCUGCAUUUGAAGGAAUCCAUGAAUCAGGGAGAAUUCUUCAUGGCCAUCAGGAACAUGCCAAUAGCUUACGCACUCUUCAUACAGUACUGUAGACAACAAAACAGGAAGCUGAUGGAAGAUCUCUUCUACCAGGAAGAUAACUUUCAGGAGGAAGGAACUUGUAAAGUUGUCAACAGCUUCAAUGAGGAUAGGAUGGAGGACAGAAUAGAGGAACUCAAACUUGCCCAAGCCUGUUUCACAAAGGCCAAGAAUGAAUUUGCUAAGGUGCAAACAGAGGAGCAGAUUAAAUUACUGAAGUAUCAGCAGAGGUUGGAGGAAGAAAUGAACAGACCCUAUCUGAAUUUGUCCCUCCAUCAGACCAUUUACCGCCUCACCCUGGCAAACAACCACAAAGUCGCUGAACAACUAAGGAAAGAAUUCAAGGUUCCAGACAGAAGAUUCUGGUGGUUGAAGAUAAAUGCCUUGGGAGAAUGUGGAGACUGGGUGGAGCUGGAGAGGUUCUCCAAGGGCAAAAAGGCACCUGUUGGAAUGGAGGCAUUUGUAGAAGUGUGUGCCAAACAUGGGAACAUGAAGGAAGCUAUGAAAUAUCUAGUUAAAGUGUCUCCGGAGCAGAAAGUCAAAUGCUUAGUGAAAGUAGGGGAAAGAAAAAAGGCAGCAGAAACAGCAUUUGAAAAUAAAAAUGAGGAAGAACUGAGUUAUGUGUUAUCCAAGUGUGGACCAAGUGAUAAACAACUAGUGGACACAAUACGAGGUAUGAAACAGCAGAUGUCAAGGAGAUGAUGCAGCAAAAAGAGGAAUUCUGGAUGAUUUUGUGUACGAAUAUGACCACUGGUUAUGACCGAGUCAAGUGCAAUACACGUUCUCCUGUUGUAGAUUUUAUCAUUUUGUUAUGUCUGUGUAAAGCUUUUGAUAUUGUUAUAAUUAUAGCAAUUUUCAUAAUUAUUGGAGAAAUAAAUCUAUUAUUACU